GUCAAAGUUCUCGGUGAGGAAGAGAGCAGGCGGCGGGGAAGCAGCGUGAGAACAGCGGAGAGGUGGUUAAACAUGAAGUCGCCGGCGGCAGGAAGAUGAAAGCAGGGCUAAACUACAUCAACAUUAAACUACGCCGGUGGAUGACCAUGUGCAGGGCGUAGGCCAGGACCAGCAGCAGGAUGAGGGAAGUGAUGAGGCCCA